CACUGUCUGCAAAUGAGUGGAUACCGUUUUGCAACUAAUUUAUUUGCAAUGUUUGCUAAAGGGAAGUGGCUGGGGAAGUAGUCAGGGAAGUGGUCCAGGUCAGGGAAGUGGCUGGGGAAGUAGUCAGGGAAGUGGUCAGGGAAGUGGCUGGGGAAGUAGUCAGGGAAGUGGUCCAGGUCAGGGAAGUGGCUGGGGAAGUAGUCAGGGAAGUGGUCCAGGUCAGGGAAGUGGCUGGGGAAGUAGUCAGGGAAGUGGUCCAGGUCAGGGAAGUGGCUGGGGAAGUAGUCAGGGAAGUGGUCCAGGUCAGGGAAGUGGCUGGGGAAGUAGUCAGGGAAGUGGUCCAGGUCAGGGAAGUGGCUGGGGAAGUAGUCAGGGAAGUGGUCCAGGUCAGGGAAGUGGCUGGGGAAGUAGUCAGGGAAGUGGUCCAGGUCAGGGAAGUGGCUGGGGAAGUAGUCAGGGAAGUGGUCCAGGUCAGGGAAGUGGCUGGGGAAGUAGUCAGGGAAGUGGUCCAGGUCAGGGAAGUGGCUGGGGAAGUAGUCAGGGAAGUGGUCCAGGUCAGGGAAGUGGCUGGGGAAGUAGUCAGGGAAGUGGUCCAGGUCAGGGAAGUGGCUGGGGAAGUAGUCAGGGAAGUGGUCCAGGUCAGGGAAGUGGCUGGGGAAGUAGUCAGGGAAGUGGUCCAGGUCAGGGAAGUGGCUGGGGAAGUAGUCAGGGAAGUGGUCCAGGUCAGGGAAGUGGCUGGGGAAGUAGUCAGGGAAGUGGUCCAGGUCAGGGAAGUGGCUGGGGAAGUAGUCAGGGAAGUGGUCCAGGUCAGGGAAGUGGCUGGGGAAGUAGUCAGGGAAGUGGUCCAGGUCAGGGAAGUGGCUGGGGAAGUAGUCAGGGAAGUGGUCCAGGUCAGGGAAGUGGCUGGGGAAGUAGUCAGGGAAGUGGUCCAGGUCAGGGAAGUGGCUGGGGAAGUAGUCAGGGAAGUGGUCCAGGUCAGGGAAGUGGCUGGGGAAGUAGUCAGGGAAGUGGUCCAGGUCAGGGAAGUGGCUGGGGAAGUAGUCAGGGAAGUGGUCCAGGUCAGGGAAGUGGCUGGGGAAGUAGUCAGGGAAGUGGUCCAGGUCAGGGAAGUGGCUGGGGAAGUAGUCAGGGAAGUGGUCCAGGUCAGGGAAGUGGCUGGGGAAGUAGUCAGGGAAGUGGUCCAGGUCAGGGAAGUGGCUGGGGAAGUAGUCAGGGAAGUGGUCCAGGUCAGGGAAGUGGCUGGGGAAGUAGUCAGGGAAGUGGUCCAGGUCAGGGAAGUGGCUGGGGAAGUAGUCAGGGAAGUGGUCCAGGUCAGGGAAGUGGCUGGGGAAGUAGUCAGGGAAGUGGUCCAGGUCAGGGAAGUGGCUGGGGAAGUAGUCAGGGAAGUGGUCCAGGUCAGGGAAGUGGCUGGGGAAGUAGUCAGGGAAGUGGUCCAGGUCAGGGAAGUGGCUGGGGAAGUAGUCAGGGAAGUGGUCCAGGUCAGGGAAGUGGCUGGGGAAGUAGUCAGGGAAGUGGUCCAGGUCAGGGAAGUGGCUGGGGAAGUAGUCAGGGAAGUGGUCCAGGUCAGGGAAGUGGCUGGGGAAGUAGUCAGGGAAGUGGUCCAGGUCAGGGAAGUGGCUGGGGAAGUAGUCAGGGAAGUGGUCCAGGUCAGGGAAGUGGCUGGGGAAGUAGUCAGGGAAGUGGUCCAGGUCAGGGAAGUGGCUGGGGAAGUAGUCAGGGAAGUGGUCCAGGUCAGGGAAGUGGCUGGGGAAGUAGUCAGGGAAGUGGUCCAGGUCAGGGAAGUGGCUGGGGAAGUAGUCAGGGAAGUGGUCCAGGUCAGGGAAGUGGCUGGGGAAGUAGUCAGGGAAGUGGUCCAGGUCAGGGAAGUGGCUGGGGAAGUAGUCAGGGAAGUGGUCCAGGUCAGGGAAGUGGCUGGGGAAGUAGUCAGGGAAGUGGUCCAGGUCAGGGAAGUGGCUGGGGAAGUAGUCAGGGAAGUGGUCCAGGUCAGGGAAGUGGCUGGGGAAGUAGUCAGGGAAGUGGUCCAGGUCAGGGAAGUGGCUGGGGAAGUAGUCAGGGAAGUGGUCCAGGUCAGGGAAGUGGCUGGGGAAGUAGUCAGGGAAGUGGUCCAGGUCAGGGAAGUGGCUGGGGAAGUAGUCAGGGAAGUGGUCCAGGUCAGGGAAGUGGCUGGGGAAGUAGUCAGGGAAGUGGUCCAGGUCAGGGAAGUGGCUGGGGAAGUAGUCAGGGAAGUGGUCCAGGUCAGGGAAGUGGCUGGGGAAGUAGUCAGGGAAGUGGUCCAGGUCAGGGAAGUGGCUGGGGAAGUAGUCAGGGAAGUGGUCCAGGUCAGGGAAGUGGCUGGGGAAGUAGUCAGGGAAGUGGUCCAGGUCAGGGAAGUGGCUGGGGAAGUAGUCAGGGAAGUGGUCCAGGUCAGGGAAGUGGCUGGGGAAGUAGUCAGGGAAGUGGUCCAGGUCAGGGAAGUGGCUGGGGAAGUAGUCAGGGAAGUGGUCCAGGUCAGGGAAGUGGCUGGGGAAGUAGUCAGGGAAGUGGUCCAGGUCAGGGAAGUGGCUGGGGAAGUAGUCAGGGAAGUGGUCCAGGUCAGGGAAGUGGCUGGGGAAGUAGUCAGGGAAGUGGUCCAGGUCAGGGAAGUGGCUGGGGAAGUAGUCAGGGAAGUGGUCCAGGUCAGGGAAGUGGCUGGGGAAGUAGUCAGGGAAGUGGUCCAGGUCAGGGAAGUGGCUGGGGAAGUAGUCAGGGAAGUGGUCCAGGUCAGGGAAGUGGCUGGGGAAGUAGUCAGGGAAGUGGUCCAGGUCAGGGAAGUGGCUGGGGAAGUAGUCAGGGAAGUGGUCCAGGUCAGGGAAGUGGCUGGGGAAGUAGUCAGGGAAGUGGUCCAGGUCAGGGAAGUGGCUGGGGAAGUAGUCAGGGAAGUGGUCCAGGUCAGGGAAGUGGCUGGGGAAGUAGUCAGGGAAGUGGUCCAGGUCAGGGAAGUGGCUGGGGAAGUAGUCAGGGAAGUGGUCCAGGUCAGGGAAGUGGCUGGGGAAGUAGUCAGGGAAGUGGUCCAGGUCAGGGAAGUGGCUGGGGAAGUAGUCAGGGAAGUGGUCCAGGUCAGGGAAGUGGCUGGGGAAGUAGUCAGGGAAGUGGUCCAGGUCAGGGAAGUGGCUGGGGAAGUAGUCAGGGAAGUGGUCCAGGUCAGGGAAGUGGCUGGGGAAGUAGUCAGGGAAGUGGUCCAGGUCAGGGAAGUGGCUGGGGAAGUAGUCAGGGAAGUGGUCCAGGUCAGGGAAGUGGCUGGGGAAGUAGUCAGGGAAGUGGUCCAGGUCAGGGAAGUGGCUGGGGAAGUAGUCAGGGAAGUGGUCCAGGUCAGGGAAGUGGCUGGGGAAGUAGUCAGGGAAGUGGUCCAGGUCAGGGAAGUGGCUGGGGAAGUAGUCAGGGAAGUGGUCCAGGUCAGGGAAGUGGCUGGGGAAGUAGUCAGGGAAGUGGUCCAGGUCAGGGAAGUGGCUGGGGAAGUAGUCAGGGAAGUGGUCCAGGUCAGGGAAGUGGCUGGGGAAGUAGUCAGGGAAGUGGUCCAGGUCAGGGAAGUGGCUGGGGAAGUAGUCAGGGAAGUGGUCCAGGUCAGGGAAGUGGCUGGGGAAGUAGUCAGGGAAGUGGUCCAGGUCAGGGAAGUGGCUGGGGAAGUAGUCAGGGAAGUGGUCCAGGUCAGGGAAGUGGCUGGGGAAGUAGUCAGGGAAGUGGUCCAGGUCAGGGAAGUGGCUGGGGAAGUAGUCAGGGAAGUGGUCCAGGUCAGGGAAGUGGCUGGGGAAGUAGUCAGGGAAGUGGUCCAGGUCAGGGAAGUGGCUGGGGAAGUAGUCAGGGAAGUGGUCCAGGUCAGGGAAGUGGCUGGGGAAGUAGUCAGGGAAGUGGUCCAGGUCAGGGAAGUGGCUGGGGAAGUAGUCAGGGAAGUGGUCCAGGUCAGGGAAGUGGCUGGGGAAGUAGUCAGGGAAGUGGUCCAGGUCAGGGAAGUGGCUGGGGAAGUAGUCAGGGAAGUGGUCCAGGUCAGGGAAGUGGCUGGGGAAGUAGUCAGGGAAGUGGUCCAGGUCAGGGAAGUGGCUGGGGAAGUAGUCAGGGAAGUGGUCCAGGUCAGGGAAGUGGCUGGGGAAGUAGUCAGGGAAGUGGUCCAGGUCAGGGAAGUGGCUGGGGAAGUAGUCAGGGAAGUGGUCCAGGUCAGGGAAGUGGCUGGGGAAGUAGUCAGGGAAGUGGUCCAGGUCAGGGAAGUGGCUGGGGAAGUAGUCAGGGAAGUGGUCCAGGUCAGGGAAGUGGCUGG
ensembl:lncRNA